UGUGAUGGCUACAGAAGCUCUGUGUCAUGC
rnacentral:piRNA from 1 species